rnacentral:rRNA from 1 species
UAAAACCCAAAGGACUUGACGGUACCCCAUAUCCCCCUAGAGGAGCCUGUCCUAUAAUCGAUAAUCCACGUUUAACCUCACCAUUUUUAGCCAAUCAGCCUGUAUACCUCCGUCGUCAGCUUACCACGUGAGCGCCUAUUAGUGAGCUUAAUGCUUUUACACCAAUACGUCAGGUCAAGGUGCAGCAAAUAAAAUGGGAAGAGAUGGGCUACACUUUCUAUCAUAGAAUAAACGAAAAACUACUUAUGAAACCUAGUUAGAAGGCGGAUUUAGCAGUAAAAAGGAAUCAGCAUGUCCAUUUUAACCCGGCACUGGGGUGUGU